rnacentral:rRNA from 1 species
GACGAACGCUGGCGGCGCGCUUCACACGUGCAAGUCGAACGAUGAAGCCGGAGCUUGCUCUGGUUAAUUAGUGGCGAACGGGUGAGUAACACGUGAGUAACCUGCCCCUUGACUCUGGGAUAACUGCGGGAAACUGUAGCUAAUACCGGAUCCGACCGUCGGCCGCAUCGCCAGGGGGUGGGAAGACGUUCGGUCAAGGAUGGACUCGCGGCCUAUCAGCUAGUUGGUGAGGUAACGGCUCACCAAGGCGACGACGGGUAGCCGGCCUGAGAGGGUGACCGGCCACACUGGGACUGAGACACGGCCCAGACUCCUACGGGAGGCAGCAGUGGGGAAUAUUGCACAAUGGGCGCAAGCCUGAUGCAGCAACGCCGCGUGAGGGAUGACGGCCUUCGGGUUGUAAACCUCUUUUAGUAGGGAAGAAGCGAAAGUGACGGUACCUGCAGAAAAAGCACCGGCUAACUACGUGCCAGCCGCCGCAGUAA